UCUGGAACCUGCAGCCAGAGGAGUGCUCCCGGUGGGGUUGGAGUGUCACGGGGACCAAGGGAUUAACUGCAGACACAGCCCCGAGGACGGCACCGGCCACGGGGCGGCUCGCCCGCCCCGCCCGCCCUCAGCUGGAUGGAGACAUUGAGCCCAAUUCAUCCGCCUUCAAAGGGCCCCUGUCUGCACCGGGCUCCCCAGGAGCGAAGCCCCGGCCAGAUCCCGGCCCAGGAAACACACUGGGCUCUUGUUCAGAGGGCGGCCAGCCCGCAGGGGGUGGGCCCAGCUGCAGGGCAGAUCCCCAGGCCCGCGGGCCUCGCUGCCCACCAGCCCCUGCCCGCCGAGACCCAGGCUGCCUAAAGAGGGGGCCUCCCACGGGAGGGGCUGGUCGCCCAGACCUGGGCGCGGCUCCCGCUCCCGUCAGCUUCUCCACGACCAUGUGCAGCCGUUCACUUUCCUCCUCUUGGGACUCGCCACGCUCCUCUGCCGGCAGGAAGUGCCCUCAGGACCCAGGAGGUCAGGGUUCGACUCCCGUCAGGGCACAGGCGCGGGUUGCCGGCUCCAUCCCCAGUGGGGGGCCUGCAGGAGGCAGCCGAUCCAUGACUCUCUCUCAUCAUCGAUGUUUCUCUCUCUCUCCCUCUCCCUUCCUGGCUGGAUCCCCGGCUUUCCAUCACCUUCAUUGACGUCAGACUCUGUGGACAGGCGGU